AACAGUAUUACACAAUGAAGCAGCGUGUUGCAAACUGGUGUGUGGGUGGGCCAGGUUGCAACACGCUGCUUCAUUGUGUGAUACUGUU